rnacentral:rRNA from 1 species
CUUCGGAUCUAGUGGCGGACGGGUUAGUAACGCGUGGGAACGUACCCUUCACUACGGAAUAGUCCUGGGAAACUGGGUUUAAUACCGUAUACGCCCUUCGGGGGAAAGAAUUUCGGUGAGGGAUCGGCCCGCGUUAGAUUAGUUAGUUGGUGGGGUAAUGGCCUACCAAGACUACGAUCUAUAGCUGGUUUGAGAGGAUGAUCAGCAACACUGGGACUGAGACACGGCCCAGACUCCUACGGGAGGCAGCAGUGGGGAAUCUUAGACAAUGGGGGCAACCCUGAUCUAGCCAUGCCGCGUGAGUGACGAAGGCCUUAGGGUCGUAAAGCUCUUUCGCCUGUGAAGAUAAUGACUGUAGCAGGUAAAGAAACCCCGGCUAACUCCGUGCCAGCAGCCGCGGUAAU